rnacentral:rRNA from 1 species
CAUGCAAGUCGAACGGAAAGUGCUCUUCGGAGUGACUCGAGUGGCGAACGGGUGAGUAACACGUGGGUGAUCUGCCCUGCACUUUGGGAUAAGCCUGGGAAACUGGGUCUAAUACCGAAUACACCCUGCUGGUCGCAUGGCCUGGUGGAGGAAAGCUUUUGCGGUGUGGGAUGGGCCCGCGGCCUAUCAGCUUGUUGGUGGGGUGAUGGCCUACCAAGGCGACGACGGGUAGCCGGCCUGAGAGGGUGUCCGGCCACACUGGGACUGAGAUACGGCCCAGACUCCUACGGGAGGCAGCAGAGGGGAAUAUUGCACAAUGGGCGCAAGCCUGAUGCAGCGACGCCGCGUGAGGGAUGACGGCCUUCGGGUUGUAAACCUCUUUCAAUAGGGACGAAGCGUGAGUGACGGUACCUAUAGAAGAAGCACCGGCCAACUACGUGCCAGCAGCCGCGGUAAUACGUAGGGUGCGAGCGUUGUCCGGAAUUACUGGGCGUAAAGAGCUCGUAGGUGGUUUGUCGCGUUGUUGGUGAAAACUCACA